AUCGCUUCUCGGCCUUUGGCUAAGAUCAUUUGUAGUUUCUGUUCUUAUCAGCUUAAUAUCUGAUACGGGCCUAAUUGGUUCAAGAUAUUAAACUUAUUUUUGCAAUUGGCGUCCCUACGAAGCUUGCUUCGAGGGCGCUAGGGUCGACCCGGUAUCGCACUACUUUCGGGAGUGGCCCGUCCCCC
rnacentral:snRNA from 2 species